UUUUAUUUUGAAAGAAAGUGUCUUUACUGUGUCAUUUGACGUUAGCUAGUUGUUAACUAACGUAGUUAGCUGGCUCUAGACGGGGGCUUAUUGUCGCUGAACAGAGGCAGGAGCUGGUCGUCUGCUGUCGGGGUUCUCAUGUGUGUCGUUAUGCCGGGUCACCGUCGCAAGUUCCGUCCUGAAUAAUUGGAAACAUUUAAAAAUGGAUUCGCAAGUUAGUCUUCAGCAAACAGCAGAUAACAGCACUCCAGCUGAAUCAGCAGAGCUUCCCCCGAGGAUGAGCAGACAGCAGACUCUCACCCUCAUAUCAAUGGCAUCUGUCAACUUCAGUUCAAUGAUCUGUUACUCAAUAUUAGGACCCUUUUUUCCCAAUGAGGCAGUCAAGAAGGGAGCCAGUCAAACUGUCAUUGGUCUCAUAUUUGGCUGCUACGCUGUCUGCAAUUUCAUUGGCUCAUUAGUAAUGGGGAAAUAUAUUGUCCAAAUUGGUCCAAAGUUUAUGCUCGUAAUGGGGCUUUUUGUUUCGUCGGGCUGCACCAUUCUCUUUGGGUUACUCAAUCGGGUACCUGCAGGACCUGUUUUCAUCACUCUGUGCUUCGUAGUGAGGUCCAUAGACGCCUUAGGCUUUGCCGCUGCGAUGACCUCCUCUUUUGCCAUGACAGCAAAAAUAUUCCCAAACAAUGUGGCAACUGUUUUGGGUAGUUUGGAGAUUUUCACAGGACUUGGUCUGAUUCUGGGGCCCCCGAUUGGAGGGUGGUUCUACCAGUCGUUUGGAUAUGAAGUCCCUUUUAUGUUUCUCGGAUGUUUCCUGUUGAUCAUGGUUCCAUUCAACAUAUACGUCUUGCCAAACAUAGAUUCAGACCCCUCGAAGGAUUCAUUCUUCCGACUUCUCACCAAAGUGAAAAUCGUCCUGAUCUGCUAUGUGAUAUUCACUCAGAGUGCAGGACUGGGCUUCUUGGAUGCCACUUUGUCCCUGUUUGCUAUGGAAAGGUUUAAUCUCUCAUCUGGCUACGUGGGACUCAUCAUGCUUGGUUUGUCGUUACCAUACUGUCUGGCAUCACCGCUGAUUGGGUAUUUUACUGAUAAAUAUCCCUCCACCAGGUCUUGGUUCAUAGUGUUGGGAGGUGUCGCCACAGCCGUUAGCUUCUCAAUGCUCGGCCCCGUCCCUUUCCUUCACAUCCCGAGUAAUCUGUGGUUGCUGAUCAUCAUGCUUGGUGUAAUCGGGUUUUCUCUGGGCGUAACUGCAAUCCCAACAUUCCCUGAGAUCAUCACAUGUGCAAAUGAACAAGGAUAUGAAGAAGGAUUAAGCACUCUUGGAAUGGUGUCUGGACUGUUUGGGGCAGUUUGGUCCAUGGGGAUGUUUUAUGGCCCAAUUGUGGGUGGCCUUAUUACGCAACAUCUGAGCUUCGAGUGGGCAGCUGCAGUCCAAGGAGGCUUGGCGCUGUUGGGUGUAAGUAUCAGUUUGUGCACUAUUCACAUGAAAAAAGGACACAUGAAGCUAUCACUUGCUGGUAUUUUGGCAUUAAGGUCUGGGCCAUAUGAUGAUAUUGUCAAAAUGCUAUAAAAAAUUGUCUAGUGUAUCUAUUGAUUUUAUCCCGACGUUAAAAAACAAACAGCUGAGCUCUAUUUCAGCUAAAUUUAUGUCAUUUGGACAAAGCUUUAUGUUGGUAUCCUUGAAUAUUAUGUUAAUUUUGCACUCUGUGCUUUUCAUUUGUCAAAUAUUUAAAUUGGCAGUAUUCACAAAUAAGCUUUACCAUGUUGGUAUUUCAUAUAGACUAUUUAUUUAUUUAUUUAUUUAUUUAUUUAAUGAAUUACCAUAAAACAUGCUAUAUUGUGAUGUAUUUCGUAGAAUGACAUAUAUCCUGAUAGAAGAUUCCGGCCAUAUUGCCCAGCCCUGUUAGCAUUGUUAUUGUGUUCUUGUGUUUUGAAAGAGCCCAGUUAACAGUUUUAUGGCCAUGUUAUAAAGAAUAAAGGAUUAGUUUCUCGUGCAGUCAGCCUGGGGACAAAGUCAGUGUUGAAUGUCAGUGUGACAAGACGGGAGGAGACUCUGAAAGUUCUGCUUAACUUGUUUGGGGUUAAACACACCACGACGAUGGAUAGAGAAAGAAGCGUGUGAUUCUCUUUUUUUUGGCAGUUACUCACAUGAAACUCAAUGACCACACUGUUCUCAGGCCCUUUUCCUCGCUGUGUAUUACCUGAGUCGUCUCCAGCAACAUCGAAGCGUUCGAGUAGAUAGUCAACGGACAGAUGAAAGGACUCCUCUCCUGACUGAAUGAAGCCCUCAGCAACAUGUGGAAGGACGCCAUACCGUACAAAACAUGCUCUAAAUGUCUCAGCUGCUCUGGGCAUCAGCUUCCAAGUUACACAAAUGGUUCCAUUGUUAUUAUUACCAAGAGCUUUUUAAGUUAUGUUUUUGGUGUGGCAGGGACUGUGAUGCUUUCUACUUAGAUCAUGGGAAUAUUGCCCUCAAAGACAAAAAACAAAGCAGUACGAACUUUAAGAUUGUACAAAUUAAAUAGAUUAUUUCACAUUGUAAAUGAUUUUGAGUGAAUAUAGUCAACCACUGGAAAGUCCAGACAAGCUAAAUGUGCCUUUUGUUCUAAAGCUCUGCUGUAUUAAUGAUCUUAGUUUUCUACGUCACAUGAACCGACUUUCAUGUUGAAGUUACACAAGUUAAGAGCUGCUGACCACAUUCAUGGCAACAUGAAGGGAACAAGCACCAUCAUAGUGAGCCUCAUAACAUUCAGUAUCAUUUAUCGUAACAAGGAGCAUUGUCAUGUUUCCUUCCAGUUAGUGAUUUUGUAUGUUGUGCCUUCUUUUCCGACUCCAGUUUGAAGAUGUUUGCACCGAUUUAUUUUGCACUAAAUAGACAGUAAAUAUAUGAA